UACGGAGGGGGCUAGCGUUGUUCGGAAUUACUGGGCGUAAAGCGCGCGUAGGCGGACCUGCAAGUCGGGGGUGAAAGCCCGAGGCUCAACCUCGGAACUGCCUUCGAUACUGCGGAUCUCGAGUCCGGAAGAGGUGAGUGGAAUUCCUAGUGUAGAGGUGAAAUUCGUAGAUAUUAGGAAGAACACCAGUUGCGAAGGCGGCUCACUGGUCCGGUACUGACGCUGAGGUGCGAAAGCGUGGGGAGCAAACAGG
rnacentral:rRNA from 1 species